rnacentral:rRNA from 1 species
GACGAACGCUGGCGGCGUGCUUAACACAUGCAAGUCGAACGGAAAGGCCCUGCUUUUGUGGGGUGCUCGAGUGGCGAACGGGUGAGUAACACGUGAGUAACCUGCCCUUGACUUUGGGAUAACUUCAGGAAACUGGGGCUAAUACCGGAUAGGAGCUCCUGCUGCAUGGUGGGGGUUGGAAAGUUUCGGCGGUUGUGGAUGGACUCGCGGCUUAUCAGCUUGUUGGUGGGGUAGUGGCUUACCAAGGCUUUGACGGGUAGCCGGCCUGAGAGGGUGACCGGCCACAGUGGGACUGAGAUACGGCCCAGACUCCUACGGGAGGCAGCAGUGGGGAAUAUUGCACAAUGGGCGGAAGCCUGAUGCAGCAACGCCGCGUGCGGGAUGACGGCCUUCGGGUUGUAAACCGCUUUCGCCGGUGACGAAGCGUGAGUGACGGUAAUGGGUAAAGAAGCACCGGCUAACUACGUG